rnacentral:lncRNA from 1 species
CGGCUCAAUCGGUACGGAAAGGCUUGUUGCACCUUCAUUUGCGGACUCACGUCAGUGAUGUGACUAAGGAGCGGACAGUGCUUCUAUAUUGUUUUGUAAAAGGAAACAAAUAGAUGUGGUGAAAGUAGUAUGCACAUAAGCCAAUCAUGUUGAUGAUAAAGCAUAUACUUUGUAACAAUCUUAUUCAUUUAUUAAUUAAA